GGACCAAUAUGUUGGUCGUGCCUCGGUACGUACUGGCAUUAUUGGUUUCUCCCUUCUGACGAACUACGAUGCCAUUAAUUUGGUGUCGUAGGGAAUCAGGACUGUUACUUUGAAAAAAUUAGAGUGUUCAAAGCAGGCAUUAGCUUGAAUACAUUAGCAUGGAAUAAUAAAAUAGGACUU
rnacentral:rRNA from 1 species